UCCUACGGGAGGCAGCAGUGGGGAAUYUUCCGCAAUGGGCGAAAGCCUGACGGAGCAACGCCGCGUGAGGGAGGAAGGCCUUAGGGUUGUAAACCUCUUUUCUCUGGGAAGAAGUACUGACGGUACCAGAGGAAWAAGCCUCGGCUAACUCCGUGCCAGCAGCCGCGGUAAGACGGAGGAGGCAAGCGUUAUCCGGAAUUAUUGGGCGUAAAGCGUCCGCAGGCGGCUAAUUAAGUCUGUUGUUAAAGCCCACAGCUYAACUGUGGAUCGGCAAUGGAAACUGGUUAGCUAGAGUGUGGUAGGGGURGAGGGAAUUCCCRGUGUAGCGGUGAAAUGCGUAGAUAUCGGGAAGAACACCAGUGGCGAAGGCGCUCUACUGGGCCACAACUGACGCUGAGGGACGAAAGCUAGGGGAGCRAAAGGGAUUAGAUACCCCUGUAGUCCUAGCUGUAAACGAUGGAUACUAGGUGUUGGGCGUAUCGACCCGUUCAGUACCGUAGCUAACGCGUUAAGUAUCCCGCCUGGGGAGUACGCACGCAAGUGUGAAACUCAAAGGAAUUGACGG
rnacentral:rRNA from 1 species